GAUGAACGCUAGCUACAGGCUUAACACAUGCAAGUCGCAGGGUAACAUGAGGAAAGCUUGCUUUCCUUGAUGCCGACUGGCGCACGGGUGAGUAACGCGUAUCCAACCUUCCCAUAACUACGGGAUAACCCGUUGAAAGACGGCCUAAUACCGUAUGAUAUCGUUUGCUGACAUCAAAUAACGAUUAAAGGUUUAGCGGUUAUGGAUGGGGAUGCGUCUGAUUAGCUUGUUGGCGGGGUAACGGCCCACCAAGGCGACGAUCAGUAGGGGUUCUGAGAGGAAGGUCCCCCACAUUGGAACUGAGACACGGUCCAAACUCCUACGGGAGGCAGCAGUGAGGAAUAGUGGUCAAUGGGCGAGAGCCUGAACCAGCCAAGUAGCGUGCAGGACGACGGCCCUAUGGGUUGUAAACUGCUUUUAUGUGGGGAUAAAGUGCGUGACGUGUCAUGCAUUGCAGGUACCACAUGAAUAAGGACCGGCUAAUUCCGUG
rnacentral:rRNA from 1 species